rnacentral:rRNA from 1 species
UGCAGAUGGACCCGCGGCGCAUUAGCUAGUUGGUGAGGUAACGGCUCACCAAGGCGACGAUGCGUAGCCGACCUGAGAGGGUGAUCGGCCACACUGGGACUGAGACACGGCCCAGACUCCUACGGGAGGCAGCAGUAGGGAAUCUUCCGCAAUGGACGAAAGUCUGACGGAGCAACNCCGCGUGAGUGAUGAAGGUUUUCGGAUCGUAAAACUCUGUUGUUAGGGAAGAACAAGUGCCGUUCGAAUAGGGCGGUACCUUGACGGUACCUAACCAGAAAGCCACGGCUAACUACGUGCCAGCAGCCGCGGUAAUACGUAGGUGGCAAGCGUUGUCCGGAAUUAUUGGGCGUAAAGCGCGCGCAGGCGGUUUCUUAAGUCUGAUGUGAAAGCCCCCGGCUCAACCGGGGAGGGUCAUUGGAAACUGG